rnacentral:rRNA from 1 species
AGAGUUUGAUCCUGGCUCAGGACGAACGCUGGCGGCGUGCUUAACACAUGCAAGUCGAACGAUGAAGUUCCUUCGGGAAUGGAUUAGUGGCGAACGGGUGAGGAACACGUGAGAAACCUGCCUUUCAUUUUGGGAUAACUCCGGGAAACCGGGGCUAAAACCGAAUACUCCGUCUUGGCGGCAUCGCUAAGCCGGGAAAAAAUUUUGAUGAAAGAUGGUCUCGCGGCCUAUCAGCUAGUUGGUGAGGUAAUGGCUCACCAAGGCGACGACGGGUAGCCGGCCUGAGAGGGCGACCGGCCACACUGGGACUGAGACACGGCCCAGACUCCUACGGGAGGCAGCAGUGGGGAAUAUUGGGCAAUGGGCGCAAGCCUGACCCAGCGACGCCGCGUGAGGGAUGAAGGCCUUCGGGUUGUAAACCUCUUUCAGUAGGGAAGAAGCGAAAGUGACGGUACCUAAAGAAGAAGCACCGGCUAACUAUGUGCCAGCAGCCGCGGUAAUACAUAGGGUGCAAGCGUUGUCCGGAAUUAUUGGGCGUAAAGAGCUCGUAGGUCGUUUGCCGCGUCGAUUGUGAAAAUCUGAGGCUCAACCUCAGACCUGCAGUCGAUACGGGCAAACUAGAGUGUGGUAGGGGAGACUGGAAUUCCUGGUGUAGCGGUGGAAUGCGCAGAUAUCAGGAGGAACACCAAUGGCGAAGGCAGGUCUCUGGGCCAUAACUGACACUGAGGAGCGAAAGCGCGGGGAGCGAACAGGAUUAGAUACCCUGGUAGUCCGCGCCGUAAACGAUGGGCACUAGCUGUGAGAGCCUUCCACGGUUCUCGCGACGCAGCAAACGCAUUAAGUGCCCCGCCUGGGGAGUACGAUCGCAAGAUUAAAACUCAAAGGAAUUGACGG